AGAGUUUGAUCCUGGCUCAGGACGAACGCUGGCGGCGUGCCUAACACAUGCAAGUCGAACGAGGUCCAUCCGGUAGCAAUACCGGUGAAGAUCAAGUGGCGAACGGGUGAGUAGCACGUGAGCAACCUGCCCCGAAGACCGGGACAACACCGGGAAACCGGUGCUAAUACCGGAUAUCCCCACCGAGUCGCAUGGCUUGGUGAGGAAAUGGAUUCCGCUUCGGGAGGGGCUCGCGGCCUAUCAGCUUGUUGGUGAGGUAACGGCUCACCAAGGCUUCGACGGGUAGCUGGUCUGAGAGGACGAUCAGCCACACUGGGACUGAGACACGGCCCAGACUCCUACGGGAGGCAGCAGUGGGGAAUCUUGCACAAUGGGCGAAAGCCUGAUGCAGCAACGCCGCGUGAGGGACGAAGGCUUUCUGAGUUGUAAACCUCUUUCAGCAGGGACGAUUGUGACGGUACCUGCAGAAGAAGCCCCGGCCAACUACGUGCCAGCAGCCGCGGUAAUACGUAGGGGGCAAGCGUUGUCCGGAUUUAUUGGGCGUAAAGAGCUCGUAGGCGGCUUGGCAAGUCGGAUGUGAAACCUCCAGGCUCAACCUGGAGUCGCCAUUCGAUACUGCCAUGGCUAGAGUUUGGUAGGGGACCACGGAAUUCCUGGUGUAGCGGUGAAAUGCGCAGAUAUCAGGAGGAACACCAGCGGCGAAGGCGGUGGUCUGGGCCAAUACUGACGCUGAGGAGCGAAAGCGUGGGGAGCGAACAGGAUUAGAUACCCUGGUAGUCCACGCCGUAAACGUUGGGCACUAGGUGUGGGACCUUGUCAACGGGUUCCGUGCCGUAGCUAACGCAUUAAGUGCCCCGCCUGGGGAGUACGGCCGCAAGGCUAAAACUCAAAGGAAUUGAC
rnacentral:rRNA from 1 species